UUUAGAAAUGAUUUCGUGGUCAUGGGAGAAAGUAUGAAGCUUGGAGGAGUGGUGAAAUUGGUUCGAACAAUUUUUAUUCGAAAACUGAACGUUUUAGGGGAGGUCAAAGGAGUUGACUUUUUAUACGUUCAUAAUUGGGGAAAACUUCCUUCAUGAAAGUUGUAGAGCUCGUCGAUACGAUCUCGUGCAUAUGUGGUAUGCAAAAAUCAGAGUUCGUAUGAAUUAGUUAUGAUUUUUUUGAAAAAGUUUCCAGUUUAGUAUAAAGCUGCCAUUUUUGGAAAUUACCAAAAAUAAUUUCAGUUCCAUUUCUGGAAACCGAACUCUCUCUCUCUUGCGCGCGUCCGAGCCCAGAAAAAACAGAGCAAAGCUCUCCGGCCGAGUUCUCCCUCCUCCGGCCACCAAUCGACACCAGACCACCUCCCUUGCCUUCGCCUCGACGCCGCCUACCUGCUAGACGUGAUCACUUCCACCGGAACGGCCUCAAAUCCGGCAGUCGGAGCCGCAAACUUUGAAACAAAAAUCGGUCAACGCCGGUUUUCUCCUAGCUCCGGCCACCAAAACUCACGAUCCUUAGCUCCCUAAACUCGCCUCAACCUUCUGAUCAUCAUUCUAGAAGGAUCGCACCUGGAGUGAUCGGAUUCACGUUCGUCGGAGCUCGCCGGAUUCUGGAAAUUUUCCACCACCACCGAAGCUUUUGAUAGAAGGAAUCGAAGCCUGAAAUUGAAGUUUUGACGUCGAAAUCAAGCCUUGCCGGAUUCUGCAAAAUUCUGGAAUUUUUCCGACCACCGAAGCUUUCGAUCGGUAUAUCUCGAGCUACAGACCAUAUUUUUCUGUGAUUCUUGAACCAGUGAGUUCUUCUUGAGUUUCUUAACAACUCUUCAGAAGGAAUCGAAGCCUUAAAUUGACGUUUUUACGUCGAAUUGGAGCUCGCCGUUUUCUGCAGUUUCUCGCCGGUUUCUGGAAAAUUCCGGCCACCUUCAUACUGUUCAAGGUGAUCGACGGUUUGAUUUGGCGGACGAUUCUUGAAAUUGUAUUUUGAGCUGUUAAGAAGACGCAGCGGGAAUUUAGAGGUGAGUAAACCUCACGUGGUUCAUAUUACGAACCGAAUAAAUUUAAUUACCUUAUUUUGUCGUAAUUGCGUGAAAAUAUUUAUGGAAUAAAUAUUUGUUUUAAAAUCAUAUGGACUUGAUCAACUACGGUCCAUGGGUAAGUAAAAUGAUUUUUUACUAUACAAAUGAAUUUCUCGGUUUUAUUGCAUGUGAACUAUAGUUGGUAUUAGUGAUUAUCCCUGAGCGGAUAAUUACGUAUAUAUAUAUUUACGUGAUUAUAUAUGAAUGGUGUGACAUUGAAGAGUGUGGAAUUGGGAUGAUUAAAUUAUUAUGAAUUGACAUGUGACUUACCAUAUUUAUAUGUGAUGAACAUGAUUGAUGAGUUCUUGUUAAUAUUCAUGAUUUACAUUGGAGGAUGUAUAGAGUUAGAGAAUGUAGGGUUCUGAGGAUGAGGUGUCCGAAGUUCGACGGUUAAGGAUAACCGGAGUGUUUGUGUGCUGAGGACGGGGAUGUCCAAGGUGCGACGGUUUAUUAUUAACCGAAGUUGUGUGCUGAGGACGGGGAUGUCCAAAGCGCGACUGUUUAUUAUUAACCGAAGUAUAUGGUGCUGAGGACGGGGAUGUCCAAAGCGCGACGGUUAUAGUGUUAACCGAAGUAUUUUUGCCGUUGCUUGACCCUAGGCCAAGGUGUCAGAGGUAACGAGGCAGUUAGAGCUCUAACGUGUUAUGGGAUGGGACCAAAGUGGUGAUAGUGUUGUGUGAUAGGACCAAAGUGGUGAUAUUGAAUUGGUUGACGUUUGCGUCGUGGAUGUUGAGAUUGUUGGUUGUGUUGUUGAGUUAUAAGAAUUGUAAUUUAAAAUCAACAGUUCUUUCUUGUUUACUCAUACUGGCUGUAAAAAGCUUACCGGGUUUUGUGUUGUUGCAACUCCCGGUACACUAUUCAAAUUGUGUAG